rnacentral:rRNA from 1 species
UACGUAGGCGGAUAUUUAAGUCAGAUGUGAAAGCCCCGGGCUCAACCUGGGAACUGCAUUUGAAACUGGGUAUCUAGAGUUUGGUAGAGGCGGGUAGAAUUCCUAGUGUAGCGGUGAAAUGCGUAGAUAUUAGGAGGAAUACCAGUGGCGAAGGCGGCCCGCUGGACCAAAACUGACGCUGAGGUACGAAAGCGUGGGGAGCAAACAGGAUUAGAUACCCUGGUAGUCC